rnacentral:misc_RNA from 1 species
GAUGAAGAACGUAGCGAAAUGCGAUAAGUAAUGUGAAUUGCAGAAUUCAGUGAAUCAUCGAAUCUUUGAACGCACCUUGCACCCUUUGGCAUUCCGAAGGGUAUGCCCGUUUGAGUGUCAUUGUACUCUCACACUCUCCGAUCCUAUGGAUUCGGGGAGCGGUGGACUUGGGUGUUGCUGCCUUUCCUUGUGGCUCACCUCAAAUGUGUCAGUGCACCUCUUGGUUGGACAUAGUACGGCGUGAUAAGUGUCUUCGCCGGCACCUCGCAAGAGGGUGGCCGAUCGGGAGCUCUGUGCUUUCAAACCGUCUUCGGACAAUUUCUGACAACUUGACCUCAAAUCGAGUAGGACUACCCGCUGAACUUAAGCAUAUCAAUAAGCGGAGGA